GGCAGUUCUCGGGUGACACACUCCAGAAUUGGGCUCUCUCCUCUCUGGUUCAGGAUGCGUCACCCGAGAACAGCU
rfam:Myotis brandtii contig168463, whole genome shotgun sequence.